rnacentral:antisense_RNA from 1 species
GUGGGAGCGAGCUUGCUCGCGAAUGCGGCUUGGCAUUCAGCACUGAUGCAAGCUGAUCCACCGUUUUCGCGAGCAAGCUCGCUCCCAC